AGUCAUCAACCCCUUUGGUUUUGUUUCCAAAGUGGGUUGGAUCUGGGGGCCUCUGCCGUCGGUUUUCCGUCGGCUCCCCUCGAAUGCGUCGGUUGGGCCUGUGGGUCGAACCCGGCUGGGCGUUGUACCAUCCUCGCUCUAUCGGGACGGACUCUACGUUUGCGUGCCCCUCCGCGACCUGCCUCUCGUUGUCAGGGUGGCGGUCAAAACUUGAGGGACUCACCUCCCUUUUGAA
rnacentral:misc_RNA from 1 species